rnacentral:rRNA from 1 species
AAUUUCUGCUAAAAAUAACCGGUCUGCUUUUAUUUAUAAAAGUGGUAUCUUGGUGUGUUUUUAGUAAUAAUAUCUUUAGAAAUGUUUUUUACUUUGCUGUAAAAAGCAAUAUUCAGGAUUUUUACUUUGAGAAAAUUAGAGUGUUUCAAGCAAGCUAACGUUUUGAAUACUGCAGCAUGGAAUAAUAAAAUAGGAUUUUGGUUCUACAUUAUUGGUUUUAAGAACUAAAUUAAUGAUUAAUA